GAUGAACGCUAGCUACAGGCUUAACACAUGCAAGUCGAGGGGAAACGGCAUCGAAAGCUUGCUUUUGAUGGGCGUCGACCGGCGCACGGGUGAGUAACGCGUAUCCAACCUGCCCAUCACUUGGGAAUAACCUUGCGAAAGUAAGACUAAUGCCCAAUGACAUCCCACGAAGGCAUCCGAAUGGGAUUAAAGAUUUAUCGGUGAUGGAUGGGGAUGCGUCUGAUUAGCUUGUUGGCGGGGUGACGGCCCACCAAGGCAACGAUCAGUAGGGGUUCUGAGAGGAAGGUCCCCCACAUUGGAACUGAGACACGGUCCAAACUCCUACGGGAGGCAGCAGUGAGGAAUAUUGGUCAAUGGGCGAGAGCCUGAACCAGCCAAGUAGCGUGCAGGAUGACGGCCCUAUGGGUUGUAAACUGCUUUAUAAGGGAAUAAAGUGGGUCACGUGUGACUUUUUGCAUGUACCUUAUGAAUAAGGACCGGCUAAUUCCGUG
rnacentral:rRNA from 1 species